rfam:Aedes albopictus isolate Foshan contig1264, whole genome shotgun sequence.
GGCUCGGUAGCUUAGUUGGAAAAGCUCUUGUGCAGCGAAUAAGGGUCCUGAGUUCAAAUCUCUCCUGAGCUG